CUUAAGGAAUUGGCGGAGGGGCGCACAAGCGGUGGAUGAUGUGGAUUAAUUCGAUGCAACGCGAAAAACCUUACCUACCCUUGACAUGUCUGGAAUGCCGAAGAGAUUUGGCAGUGCUCGCAAGAGAACCGGAACACAGGUGCUGCAUGGCUGUCGUCAGCUCGUGUCGUGAGAUGUUGGGUUAAGUCCCGCAACGAGCGCAACCCUUGUCAAUAGUUGCUACGAAGGGGCACUCUAAUGAGACUGCCGGUGACAAAUCGGAGGAAGGUGGGGAUGACGUCAAGUCCUCAUGGCCCUUAUGGGUAGGGCUUCACACGUCAUACAAUGGUCGGGACAGAGGGUCGCCAACCCGCGAGGGGGAGCUAAUCCCAGAAACCCGAUCGUAGUCCGGAUCGCAGUCUGCAACUCGACUGCGUGAAGUCGGAAUCGCUAGUAAUCGCGGAUCAGCAUGUCGCGGUGAAUACGUCCCCGGGCCUUGCACACACCGCCCG
rnacentral:rRNA from 1 species